rnacentral:rRNA from 1 species
UUAUAAUGAUCGUAUAACGGGUAACCCCUAGAAUUCAACAGGGGGGUGGUUCGGGUUCCCGCUUUCCUCCUGGGGAGAGCGGCGGACGGGUGAGUAAUGCCUAGGAUUCUGCCUGGAGGUGGGGAAUAACGUUCGGAAACGCACGCUAAUCCCGCAUACGUCCUACGGGAGAAAGCAGGGGACCUUCGGGCCUUGCGCUAUCAAUGAGCCUAGGUCGGAUUACUAGUUGGUGAGGAAUGGCUCACCAAGGCGACAUCCGUAACUGGUCUGAGAGGAUGAUCAGUCACACUGGAACUGAGACACGGUCCAACUCCUACGGGAGGAGCUGGGGAAUAUUGGACAAUGGGCAAAGCCUGAUCCAGCCUGCCGCGUGACGGUGAACGAAGGUCUCUCCGAAUUGAAAGACUUUAAGUUGGGAGGAAGGGUUGUAGAUUAAUACUCUGAAUUUUGACGUUACCGACAGAAUAACUCGGCUAACUCUGUGCCAGCGGUAAUACAGGGGCACGCUUAAUCAAUUACUGGCAAAAGGAGUUGUAGUCGACGAAUCCCGGUCACUGACUCGCUCCACUACGACUGACAAAU